rnacentral:rRNA from 1 species
UACGUAGGGAGCAAGCGUUGUCCGGAAUCAUUGGGCGUAAAGAGCGCGUAGGUGGCUUUAUAAGUCCGUUGUGAAAGUCAAAGGCUCAACCUUUGAAAGCCGAUGGAUACUGUGAAGCUAGAGUACGGAAGAGGCGAGUGGAAUUCCUGGUGUAGCGGUGGAAUGCGCAGAUAUCAAGGAGGAACACCAAUAGCGAAGGCAGCUCGCUGGGACGUUACUGACACUGAGGCGCGAAAGCGUGGGGAGCGAACAGGA